UGGUNAUCCGCACGAGCGCACCCCUGUCCUUAGUUGCCAUCAGGGUAAUGCUGGGAACUCUAAGGAGACAGCCUGUGACAAGCAGGAGGAAGGUGGGGAUGACGUCAAGUCAUCAUGGCUCUUACGUCCUGGGCUGCAAACGUGCUACAAUGGCUGGUACAAAGGGUUGCGAUACCGCGAGGUGGAGCCAAUCCCAAAAAACCAGUCUCAGUUCGGAUUGGAGUCUGCAACUCGACUCCAUGAAGGUGGAAUUGCUAGUAAUCGCGGAUCAGCAUGCCGCGGUGAAUACGUUCCCGGGUCUUGUACACACCGCCCGUCAAGCUAGGAAAGACGGAAACACCUGAAGUCGCGAUCCUAACCGCAAGGAGGGAAGCGCCGAAGGUGGAGUUGUCGAUUCGAGCUAAGUCGUAACAAGGUAGCCGUACCGGAAGGUGCGGCUGGAUCACCUCCUUU
rnacentral:rRNA from 1 species